GCAAUAUGUAGGGUUGUCAUGAGGUUUGAGUAAGGUUAACACUAGGGCUGUGCACAGGAUACGGGGGUGCACUUAGCAUGUACAAAGCACUCAGAGUUCCUCUGAAUAGAGGAUCAUAUUCUAGAUUUUCACUCUUCAGACAUCUAAUGUGUAUUUCUAGAGGAACUCUGGGAACCAUUUUCCCCUCCCUUUCUGGUUGACUGCUGUGGGUCAUCCCUGGCCUGAGAUUCUUUUCUGUAGCUCUCUGAGAUGGAGGAAGGAAGAAGCCAGUAAACCAAAGUCAACAGCUCUGGAAAAGGGUAGCGGGUCUUAGGCACUUGGGCAGCUGUAGACUUGAGAAGGGCAGAGCCCAUGACCAAACGGGUUUGUGCUUUGAGAUCCUACUGCUGUGUCCUUGGCAGUCUUCAGAGGCUUCAUCAACUCUUUGGUGACAUGAGCAGGCACCAGAGCAUGCUGCUGGAUGCAGCUGGCAGAAAACCUCGGUUCUCUGAUUGAAACGAGUGGAAGUCCAAGGGAGAUGUCAUCUGACACCAGAAAUGUUCUCAGUUUGGCAGUUGAGAAUCCCGGUGGUGAGGC
rnacentral:lncRNA from 1 species